rnacentral:rRNA from 1 species
UACGUAGGGGGCAAGCGUUGUCCGGAAUUACUGGGCGUAAAGCGUGCGCAGGCGGCUUCGCAAGUCAGACGUGAAAUCCCCGGGCUUAACCUGGGAAUGGCGUUUGAAACUACGGAGCUGGAGUGUGGCAGAGGGAGGUAGAAUUCCACGUGUAGCGGUGAAAUGCGUAGAUAUGUGGAGGAAUACCGAUGGCGAAGGCAGCCUCCUGGGCCAACACUGACGCUCAUGCACGAAAGCGUGGGGAGCAAACAGG